rnacentral:rRNA from 1 species
GAGUGGCGCACGGGUGAGUAACGCGUGGGAACCUGCCUAGUGGUAAGGAAUAACCGUGGGAAACUGCGGCUAAUACCUUAUGAGCCGGGGAAAGAUUUAUCGCCAUUAGAGGGGCCCGCGUCCGAUUAGCUAGUUGGUGAGGUAACGGCUCACCAAGGCGACGAUCGGUAGCUGGUCUGAGAGGAUGAUCAGCCACACUGGGACUGAGACACGGCCCAGACUCCUACGGGAGGCAGCAGUGGGGAGUAUUGGACAAUGGGGGCAACCCUGAUCCAGCAAUGCCGCGUGAGUGAUGAAGGCCUUAGGGUUGUAAAGCUCUUUCGACGGGGAAGAUGAUGACGGUACCCGUAGAAGAAGCCCCGGCUAACUUCGUGCCAGCAGCCGCGGUAAUACGAAGGGGGCUAGCGUUGUUCGGAUUUACUGGGCGUAAAGGGCGCGUAGGCGGUGCAAUAAGUCAGGCGUGAAAGCCCCGGGCUCAACCCGGGAAUUGCGCUUGAUACUGUUGCGCUUGAAUCCAGGAGAGGAUGGCGGAAUUCCCAGUGUAGAGGUGAAAUUCGUAGAUAUUGGGAAGAACACCAGUGGCGAAGGCGGCCAUCUGGCCUGGAAU